rnacentral:rRNA from 1 species
CCUCUGCAAUAGGCGAAAGCCUGACAGGUUACUCUGAGUGACUUUCGCUAAGAAAGUCUUUUGACACCUCUAAAAAUGGUGUAGAAUAAGGGGUGGGCAAGUCUGGUGUCAGCCGCCGCGGUAAUACCAGCACCCCGAGUGGUCGGGACGAUUAUUGGGCCUAAAGCAUCCGUAGCCGGCCUUACAAGUCCUCCGUUAAAUCCAGCUGCUUAACAGAUGGGCCGCGGAGGAUACUAUAAGACUAGGAGGCAGGAGAGGCAAGCGGUACUCAGUGGGUAGGGGUAAAAUCCGUUGAUCCAUUGAAGACCACCAGUGGCGAAGGCGGCUUGCCAGAAUGCGCUCGACGGUGAGGGAUGAAAGCUGGGGGAGCAAACCGGAUUAGAUACCCGGGUAGUCCCAGCUGUAAACGAUGCAGACUCGGUGAUGGACCAGCUUAAUGCUAGUCCAGUGCCGCAGGGAAGCCGUUAAGUCUGCCGCCUGGGUAGUACGGUCGCAAGACUGAAACUUAA